rnacentral:rRNA from 1 species
AUUGAACGCUGGCGGCAUGCCUUACACAUGCAAGUCGAACGGCAGCACGGGAGCAAUCCUGGUGGCGAGUGGCGAACGGGUGAGUAAUAUAUCGGAACGUGCCCAGUCGUGGGGGAUAACGCAGCGAAAGCUGUGCUAAUACCGCAUACGAUCUACGGAUGAAAGCGGGGGAUCGCAAGACCUCGCGCGAUUGGAGCGGCCGAUAUCGGAUUAGCUAGUUGGUGGGGUAAAGGCCCACCAAGGCGACGAUCUGUAGCUGGUCUGAGAGGACGACCAGCCACACUGGAACUGAGACACGGUCCAGACUCCUACGGGAGGCAGCAGUGGGGAAUUUUGGACAAUGGGCGCAAGCCUGAUCCAGCAAUGCCGCGUGCAGGAUGAAGGCCUUCGGGUUGUAAACUGCUUUUGUACGGAACGAAACGGCCCUUUCUAAUACAGGGGGCUAAUGACGGUACCGUAAGAAUAGGCACCGGCUAACUACGUGCCAGCCGCCGCGGUAA